rnacentral:rRNA from 1 species
UGGGGAAUAUUGCACAAUGGGCGCAAGCCUGAUGCAGCCAUGCCGCGUAUAUGAAGAAGGCCUUCGGGUUGUAAAGUACUUUCAGCGGGGAGGAAGGGAGUAAAGUUAAUACCUUUGCUCAUUGACGUUACCCGCAGAAGAAGCACCGGCUAACUCCGUGCCAGCAGCCGCGGUAAUACGGAGGGUGCAAGCGUUAAUCGGAAUUACUGGGCGUAAAGCGCACGCAGGCGGUUUGUUAAGUCAGAUGUGAAAUCCCCGGGCUCAACCUGGGAACUGCAUCUGAUACUGGCAAGCUUGAGUCUCGUAGAGGGGGGUAGAAUUCCAGGUGUAGCGGUGAAAUGCGUAGAGAUCUGGAGGAAUACCGGUGGCGAAGGCGGCCCCCUGGACGAAGACUGACGCUCAGGUGCGAAAGCGUGGGGAGCAAACA